CAUUAUAAUAUUUCAUUAAAAAUAAAUAUAAUUUACUUAAAAGUUUAAAUAUUAGGUACUGGAAAAAAUUUAUGCGGUCUAUUCGUUAAUUGUAACUAUAUAUCUAUUUCGUGUGGUAAUUGGCAACUGUAAGAUAUGAAUUGGUUUCAUUUUAAAGCUUACUCUUUGUAAUUGGUAUGCAUGCUCUGUGGAGUUCAAUUGUUUCGUUGUUGUGUAGCAUAGGAACAGUAAACAUGGACAGCGAAAGAGUAAAAAUUUGUGCUUUUAUUCUUUACAAAUUUAAACUUGGCAGUACAGCAGCAAAUGCAGCAAGAUGCAUUUGUAGCGUUUGUGGGGAAGGUGCUGUUAGUGAAAGAACGGCACAGAAAUGGUUUAAAAGGUUUAAAGAAGGAAAUGAAUCGUUAGAUGACGAACCAUAUUCAGGGUGUCCAUCUGUCAUUGAAAACAAAAAAUUCAUCGAGUACAUUGGGCAAAUGGAUACCGCACCAUUUAAUGGAAGAGAACAAAUACUCCUGGCUGAGCAUUUCCAAUAUCCAUUUAUCGAUCGAAUUUUAACUUGUGAUGAAAAGUGGAUAGAAUAUAAUAAUGUAUAACAAUCACACCACUGGGUUCAGAAGAGGUCAUGUGCAACAGUAACCAUACCAGAACUGAGUCUCCAUUCGAAGAAGGUACUAAUCACUGUUUGGUGGACUACACGAGGUAUCGUUCACGUUGCUUUUCUUCCACGUGACAGACUAUUACUGCAGAUACUUAUCACAAAGAAAUUGAUGAAGUCAUUGAUGAAAUUGAUGAUAAAUGGUGAUUAUUUCGUUGAAUAAACCUAUGAUUUAAAACAGA